UACGAAGGGGGCUAGCGUUGUUCGGAAUCACUGGGCGUAAAGCGCACGUAGGCGGAUGUGCCAGUCAGGGGUGAAAUCCCGGAGCUCAACUUCGGAACUGCCUCUGAUACAGCACGUCUUGAGUCCGGAAGAGGUGGGUGGAAUUCCUAGUGUAGAGGUGAAAUGCGUAGAUAUGGGGAGGAACACCGGUGGCGAAGGCGGCCACCUGGACGGUCACUGACGCUGAGACGCGAAAGCGUGGGUAGCAAACAGG
rnacentral:rRNA from 1 species